GACUACUGGCAGGAUCAACCAGGUAGCAUUCCUCACCGAAGUCGGCACGGCCCCGCCCGAGCCGAAGCUCGAGGCGGGAGACCGAUUCGACCGUCGUCCGCAAGAACGCUUGUUUGUGGUGCUGCGAGGCCGAGGGCCCCGUACCCACAUGAUGUUCCGCACCCGAGAGACCGAGCAUUCCGUCGUGGUUCGUCGACCCGAAAGCCGUUUCACGGGCAAACGGGGCGCGAGACACGACGGGCGCUGUUUGGCUCACCCCGCGCCGCCCGCCCGCUAGGAGCAGCAGCACGAGGCGAGAAAGGGACGAUUUAGCCGACAGAAUGCCUUCGCGAUAGGUAUUAAACACAGGAAACCCGACGUCGGACGACACACGGUCGUGCCAACAACUGAAGAGGCGCGGACGAAAUGUUGUCGCUGCCCGAGCAGGGAUCCAACAUGCCGUCGCGCGCCAAUCACCACUC
rnacentral:misc_RNA from 1 species